UGCGACGCAAAUGAAAAAUUUUAGCUUUAAUUUUAGUCAUUUGCGUCGCAGUAUUACUAAACUGCGAGGCAAAUGCCUUUAAAAUGUUCUUAAAGUCAUUUGCGUCGCAGAUUAGUAGAGCUGCGACGCAAUUGAGUCACUCAUUUGCCUCGCAAUAUUACUAAACUGCGAGGCAAAUGACUUUAAAAACCUCUUAAAGUUAUUUGCCUCGCAGUUUAGUAAUACUGCGAGGCAAAUGAAUUUGAAACUUUUCAGAAUUUGGUUUGGCACUCACCUAGCUAUUCUCACUUUGCUCUAACCUAAAUCGAAUGUCUGCUUCUCCUUUCACUGCCUUGUCCUCCUAGCCCGCUUCCUUCCUUGGUCCAACUUCUCACUGCACCCAGGCCAACUGCGAUGGCCGUUCUUCCUCCGGCAAGCAUACUCGUCCUCCGGCCUCUUCUCCCUGCGCGCUGAACCUCGUCUCCUCCUGCGCAGUGGUUGUCCUCUUCUCUGUCGUUCUCACUGCCGCCGCAUCUCCUCGCUGCACACUGUCGUCGCGGCUAACAGCCGCCGCUGCUCUCACAGCCGCCGCGGCUCUCACAUCCGUCGCGGCUCACAACCCCUGCACACCGCCCCUGCACACCUCCCUUACUACCACCGCCCCCUGCACGCCGUCCCUGCUCACAGCCACCGCCCCCUGUGUCGUCUGUCCUCUCUUCAAUAAUUAAUUAGGUAUUAUUUACAUUUAAGAUUGAAUUUUAAUCUUGAUAUUAUUUAGUUGAAUUUUAAUUGUGCAAUUUAAUUAUUAUUGUGGAUAUUUUGAUUGAAUUUUAGUUGUUCAUUUUAGUUGAAUUUUAAGAUUGAAUUAUGAAAGGUGCACACCCGAAAAUAGAAGAACCGGAACAUGGAUAUUGAUGACAGGCAAUAUCUGUCGAAGGAUUGAAGAAUUCCCUACAGACAGACUACAUACAAAAAAUUCUUGGUCUAGGUAUCUGUGCUGACACAAUGAUUGGUGAUGCUAUGAGGAGAGGCAUCUCAGGUGGUCAAAAGAAAAGAUUGACUACAGGUGAGAUGAUUGUUGGGCCGAUUAAGGCGUUCUUUAUGGAUGAAAUUACGAAUGGCUUGGACAGUUCUACUUCAUUUCAGAUUGUUUCAUGUGUUCAACAGUUGGUCCAUGUAACAGAUGCAUCUGCAUUGAUUUUUUUGAGAGCUGUGGUUUUAGGUGUCCUAAGAGGAAGGGAAUAGCUGACUUUCUACAGGAGGUAAGAGUUUCCAACUCUGGUAUCUGGUGAUGCACACUUACCAUUCUGAAGUGACUGCAAUUUUCUCUAGCUUCCAUGAAUUUUUUCUUGAGUUAAACUUUCCAUCCCUUUAUACCUUAGUUACAGGUUAUUUCACAAAAAUGUAUAUAGCUUCUUCUGGGAAUCUGGGAUAGUUAACAAAACAGUAGCUAUGAAACUUUAAGGUUAUGAUUUAAACUUCAAAUCUCCUAAUAAAAAGCACAGAUUUUUUAUUGAUUGAGUCCACUGCUUGUUAAACAUAGUUCCAAUUUUUUUUCUUAAUUUAUUUGCUGCCUGAUUUGUUUUUUUUUCACCGUUUUUUUUUUUUUGCAGUUGGUUAUUUUAGCUCUGUAACAAUGACUGUAUAUAUGCGUACUCGGAUGCAUGUGGACAUUCUUCUUGCUAAUUAUUAUUUGAACGCCAUGUUCUAUGGUCUUAUCGUGCUUCUUACUGACUGAUUUCCAGAAGUGUCUGACUAUCAUGAGACUUCUUGUUUUCUUCAAACAGAGAGACCUCUAUUUCUAUCCCGCUUGGGCCUAUGCAAUCCCCGCCACUAUCAUGAAAAUCCCAUUGUCUAUCUUGCUUGCUACUCUCUGGACAUCACUUACUAUACCAUUGGAUAUG